UACGGAGGGUGCAAGCGUUAUCCGGAUUCACUGGGUUUAAAGGGUGCGUAGGCGGGCAGGUAAGUCAGUGGUGAAAUCCUAGAGCUUAACUCUAGAACUGCCAUUGAUACUAUCUGUCUUGAAUAUUGUGGAGGUAAGCGGAAUAUGUCAUGUAGCGGUGAAAUGCUUAGAGAUGACAUAGAACACCAAUUGCGAAGGCAGCUGACUACGCAUAUAUUGACACUGGAGGCACGAAAGCGUGGGGAUCAAACAGG
rnacentral:rRNA from 1 species